UACGGAGGGAGCUAGCGUUGUUCGGAAUUACUGGGCGUAAAGCGCACGUAGGCGGCUUUUUAAGUCAGGGGUGAAAUCCUGGAGCUCAACUCCAGAACUGCCUUUGAUACUGGGGAUCUCGAGUCCGGGAGAGGUGAGUGGAACUCCGAGUGUAGAGGUGAAAUUCGUAGAUAUUCGGAAGAACACCAGUGGCGAAGGCGGCUCACUGGCCCGGUACUGACGCUGAGGUGCGAAAGCGUGGGGAGCAAACAGG
rnacentral:rRNA from 1 species